AUAAGAGGUGAUUGCAUAGA
rnacentral:misc_RNA from 1 species